rnacentral:rRNA from 1 species
GACGAACGCUGGCGGCGUGCCUAAUACAUGCAAGUUGAGCGCUGAAGGUUGGUACUUGUACCAACUGGAUGAGCAGCGAACGGGUGAGUAACGCGUGGGGAAUCUGCCUUUGAGCGGGGGACAACAUUUGGAAACGAAUGCUAAUACCGCAUAAAAACUUUAAACACAAGUUUUAAGUUUGAAAGAUGCAAUUGCAUCACUCAAAGAUGAUCCCGCGUUGUAUUAGCUAGUUGGUGAGGUAAAGGCUCACCAAGGCGAUGAUACAUAGCCGACCUGAGCGGGUGAUCGGCCACAUUGGGACGGAGACACGGCCCAAACUCCUACGGGAGGCAGCAGUAGGGAAUCUUCGGCAAUGGACGAAAGUCUGACCGAGCAACGCCGCGUGAGUGAAGAAGGUUUUCGGAUCGUAAAACUCUGUUGGUAGAGAAGAACGUUGGUGAGAGUGGAAAGCUCAUCAAGUGACGGUAACUACCCAGAAAGGGACGGCUAACUACGUG